rnacentral:rRNA from 1 species
AUUGAACGCUGGCGGCAUGCUUUACACAUGCAAGUCGAACGGUAACAGGCCUUCGGGUGCUGACGAGUGGCGAACGGGUGAGUAAUGCAUCGGAACGUACCCAGAGGUGGGGGAUAACGCAGCGAAAGCUGUGCUAAUACCGCAUGUGAUCUGAGGAUGAAAGCGGGGGACCGAGCAGCAAUGUUUGGCCUCGCGCCUUUGGAGCGGCCGGUGUCGGAUUAGCUAGUUGGUGGGGUAAAGGCCUACCAAGGCGACGAUCCGUAGCUGGUCUGAGAGGACGACCAGCCACACUGGGACUGAGACACGGCCCAGACUCCUACGGGAGGCAGCAGUGGGGAAUUUUGGACAAUGGGCGCAAGCCUGAUCCAGCAAUGCCGCGUGCGGGAAGAAGGCCUUCGGGUUGUAAACCGCUUUUGGCAGGAACGAAACGGUGUCCGCUAAUACCGGGCGCUAAUGACGGUACCUGCAGAAUAAGCACCGGCUAACUACGUG